GACAACAUAGUGUUAAGGGUAGCAUAUCGACUGGCGAAGUUGAUGGUAUGGGUUCGAUUCCCAUUGUUGUCG
rnacentral:tRNA from 1 species